GUGGGUCGUGCAGGAUUCGAACCUGCGACCAAUUGAUUAAAAGUCAACUGCUCUACCAACUGAGCUAACGACCC
rnacentral:tRNA from 1 species